AAAAAAAAAAAACCGGGAGGAGGAGGAGCCGGCAUUGGAAAGCUCUCCGCGCACGAGGCGUAGGCGGGGCUGCUCUUUAUCAUAACAACACCUUCGCCCCGCCUUUUUUCCUACGGGCAGCCAAUUGGGGACCUCGCGCUGGGCGGGGCUCUUGAUUAAAGCGUUCCCUGUGGCUGUGAGGAAAGAAGGGGGGGCUCUCUUUUUGUAGGCGAAGGAGGUUGGCGGAGGCGGGGUUUUCUCUCUUCGAAAUUUAGUUACGCUCUGAGCACCGCAGUAGUUCAGAGCUGCUUACCCGAUCGAUUUCUGUGAUCAUACCGGACCAUCUCUCAUCAUCUACAGUAACUUCUUGUUGUUUAGUCGUGUCCAACUGUUCGUGAGCCCAUGAACUAGAACACGCCAGGCACUAUCUACAGUAAUAGCAAACUGUAUUUUAAGUGUAUUUUGGCAGCAUUUACUGGUACUCCUCUGUUACUAGUUUUUAACUUCCUCUCUGUAGGACUUCAGAUCCAUGGCUCAAAGUCCUGGGUAAGAAUGCAAGUUAUUGCCUGGCUCCUAAAAAUAGAUGGUCCCACAUAAGCCUCCCUGGGGAGAGUAUUCCACAAGAGGGAAGCCUGUAAGGGUCUAUUCAUGUUGCUACCCUCCUAACCGCUUGUGAAUGGGGCACACAGGGAAGACCUCAGGUGAUAAUUUCAUGGUUUGGGUCUUUUCGUAUAGGGAGAGGUGGUUCUUGAAGUAUUGGGGUCCUGAGCUGUGUUGGGCUUUAUGGGUCAAAGCUAGCACUCUGAAUUGAAGCUGGAAACUAAUUGGAGGUCAGUGCAAAUGCGGCCAGAAUUGGUGUUACAUGUUCAGACCACCCUGCCCUGGUCAACAAUCUGGCUGCAGAAUUCUGCACUAGCUGAGGUUUCCAAUCUGUUUUCAGUGGCAGCCCCAUGUACCACACAUUUCAGUGAUCCAGCCUAGAGGUCAGCGGAGCAUAGGCAACAGAAGUUUGGUUAUCCAUACAAGGGUGCAGUUGAGCCACCAGUCAAAGCUGAUUGAAAGCACUUCAUGCCACUGAGGCUACUUCAGCCUCAAUCAACAGUACUGCAUCCAGAAGUACUGUCAAGCUGUAUACAUGAUACUUCAGGGAGAGUAGGCCACAGCCCAUCCAUCCAGUCUAGGGAACCAGCUAGUAACAGUGUCUCAGUCUUGCUGGAUUAAUCUUCAGUUUAUUGGCUCUCAUCCAGUUCUUUACUAAGACAAGACACUCAUCUUCCACAUCUACUGCCACACCUGCAGAUGUAAAAUAGAAGUUUCCAAGGCAGUUUCGAUGCCAAAACUAGGCCUAAGCCCUGAUUGAACUGGAUCUAGAAAAAUUAGUUUCAACCAAGAGCCUGGAUCUAGCCCACACUAUCCACUCAAAACACAUUCCCUAGUAAGGAAAGAUUAUCAAUCAAUCAGUAAUUCAUUAGAUUUUCUGAAUCCAGGGAGGGUUUUCCAAAGCAGUGUCUUACCACCACCACCACCUUUAAGUAGGCAGGGACCACCCCUUAUCAUGAGGAAGCAUUAAUCAGCUCCCUAGCCCAACUGUCCGUCCCCUGCUAGUUUUUAUCAGUUAUGAGGGACAAGGUUCAUGGUCACAGGUGGUCGCCCAUUCUGAACCAAGCACCUUGUCCACAUCCCCAAGCCUUAUUAACUGAAACACAAAGAGCACAACAAGGCUAGACAGUGUUCUAGGCACCUCUCAAUAAAGACUAAGCAUGCUUAGUGGCCAUGGAAGAUUGACAGACUGUUGUUGGUUAAUUUGUUUAUGUAUGCAACAACGGCCGCACGGACUUUAUUAGCACAAUAUUGGAAAGAAGAAGGUGUCCCAACUAAAGAAGACUGGCAAGUUAAACUAAUGGAAUAUGCUGAAAUGGCAAAAUUGAUGAUGAAAUUAAGAGGAAGAGAUGACAAUGGAUUUAAGGAAAAAUGGAAGAUGUUUAUUGCAUAUAUACAGAAGCAAUG